UAUUAAAUAAUUUUGCCAACUAGAUCGGCCAGGACUAAAAGGGCUUGCCGAGAUUGGCCGACUUAGUCAAGCUGUUCUCAGAGCACUUCGAUUAGAGCUAGAGAGAAACCAUUCAGUACCCAUCAAAGGAGAUGUGACAGUGUAUGAUGCCUUGCUUGCCAAGGUUCCAACACUCAGAGAACUGAGCAUGCUCCACAUGGAUGCUCUAGCCAAGUUUAAGCGGUCAACACCACAUCUUGAGUUCCCAGCUUUGCACAAGGAGCUUUUCUCUGUUGACAGCUGAGUGGAGCAUCAGUUAGCUGCCAGCCCAGCACUCAGCAAUUGGACCUGUGACGUUGAGGACUGAGGAAUCACCUACAUUGGAGUUGUGAAGAGUUCAGUUGUUGUUUCUCUGUUAUCAGGCAAGAAACAACAGAGAGUUAAACUCUGUAUUGCAAACAAUGCAAGUGAGUGCAAGAGCAACAAUGGUAGUGAACCAGUGAACAUUCAACAGUUUUAAGUGUUCCAGGAAUGCAUAAAACUUUCUAAUAGUUUACAUUUCAAAUGAAAGGGAUUUAAAACAUUAGUUUUUCUCCCUUUAACAUAUUUAUAAUAAACAAAGAGAAACUGUCCAGAUAUGCUUAAAGAGAAAUAUGAAGUUAUAUCACAAACAACCUACGCUUCUUGAUGUAAAAAUGGAACAAAGCUCAUCACGUAAUAUAGGGUAGCCCAGAGAAAUACACUAGCUUUCAUAGGCCAGUAACUUUGUAAGAUGUAAUAUUAGAAUUUUGAUACUUGAAUGGAGACACUUGAGAUAAGCAUAAGUUUCUGUAAGAACAUGAAGACCAUCAGUGUUCCAAACAAAGAAAAACAAAACAAGAAACAAAAUAUAUAUACUCACCCUUGUGUUCUACUUUACGUUCUUAUUGAAGUCACUGUCUCUGUAAUCUCCAUUCAAAUUUAUCUGUCGUAAGCUUAUGCCAAAUUUGGAUUAACUUCUGUAUUAUAAAAUACACUACUUUUGAACAGUUCCACAGCGCUAAUUAUUUUCUUUGCAAUUUAACCAUUGCUUACAAAGUACAAGUGUAUAUGAAAUCUGAUCUAUUUCUUUGGGGAAGCCCCAUCUCAUGGACAUUUUCACCCCAUAAUCUGAUAAUGUUCUUUCUUGUACUUCAUGCUGCUUUCCCAGUGCGCAGGUAAAUGUUACAUGAAUAAUUCGCAUAUAUGAAGCAACAGUGAAAGAAGAAUUUCGAGAAUUAAUUAUGGUGGCGGAAUUUUUGUGUUUUUUUUAAUUUGCUGAUGGGGUAAACGGCAGAAUGGUGUGAAAGAAGAUAUAUACAUGUAUAUAAAUAUUUCUCUCUAUAGCUGUUUGAAUAAAAUUUUUCAGUAUAAAACACACAAAUUUUAGAAGAGAAAUGGGGGGUUAAGCUGAGGUUAAGGGAUAAUAUUGCCUUAUUACUAGGGACAGGAAGUUGUAGCAUGUAUUUACUGUGCAGAAAAAAAAUAAAUGUGACUGCUUAUAAUUUAGAUACAUUGAAAGGAACAGAUAGUGUGCUGGAUGAUAAUUAUGAUCCAAAUGAAUAAAUAUGUGAAAAAAGUAUUUCAUCCUUCUUUUAAGAGUAAGAUCAAAUGUGAACAUGCAUAGAUCAAGUGAAAAAACUGAAAUAAAUUAUUGUAUUCAUUACAAAAUUAUUGAGAUAUCUGUGAAAACUAACUCCAUCGAAAACAGUCCUUCAACUGGUAGUAUGCUCAACUAGUCAAAAAAUUCCCUGCCUUUUGCGGAACUUGAAGGUUUAUUGUCAUGUUCACAGGAAUUAUUUAAUAACUAUUAUAUUCUGCAUUUUGGCAAAGACUUUGAUUACUGCUGUGUAAAAUGUCACAUCCACUGAUAUGCUCACAGGAAUAAUUAAUUCAUAAACACCAAAUAUUUGUGCAUAGGCAACAUGGUUUAUUUUACAAUUCUAUAGCACAAAAAUAUUAUUACAGAAAAUUGUAAAAGAUUUUUAUUGUACUCAAAUUAUAAAUGAGCCGAGGUAGCUCAGUCAGUAUAGUGACUGGCUACAGACCGGACAACCGCUGUUUGAUCCCCGACGGGGCAGAGGAUUUUUCCUCUAGCCUCUGCGUCCAGACUGGCUCUGGGCCCCAUCGAGCCUUCUAUUCAGUGGGUACUGGGGUUCUUUCCUGGGGGUAAAGCACAGCCGGGGCAUGGCGCUAACCACUUACCCCUACCUAGUGCUGAGGUUAAGAAUGAAUAGGAGCUAUAACUCAUCUCCCCCCAAGCGCCUGCAUGGUGUAUAGUGGGAUAGCUUAACUUUACUUUUUUUACCCAGUUUAUAAAAAUAUUUCCAGGUUUGUCAAAGAAUGUACACUAUCAGAGUUGUUGGGAAAAGUGAGUUUGUGUGCAGCUGAUGUGACAUAGAGCAGGAUCAUCUUCUGUCAUAUGCAUGAAUCAACUUGAGCAGAUAACCUGGUUUUUAAUUAAAUCUGUCAAAACAUUUCAGUUUCAUUUUAAAUCAGACAAUUUGAACAAUUACUUUAUUUUAAGAGCACAAAUCAUUUUCUGACUUUAUCUUAAAUGCUCGUAAAAAGAGAUGCAUAAAUGGAUUUUAGCAUAAUUGGAUAAACAUUCAUUAUGGUAUUAAUUAAUUAAAUAAAAGUGGUCAUUGUCAAAGAUGAUAAUAUGCACAGUUCAGUUCAAUUUCUGUCCUACUUUUCCCACCAUGCUAUAAAAAAAAGAACAGAAAACAUUGGUUCUUUUACAUUAUUAACUAACUCCAUGGAGCAAAGUCCUUGAGAAGCUGAUAUUCAUUCACCUCCUUAAGAAAUUUUAUAUGUCAAACAUUUUCUUAUGGAAAGUUCUAUAUAGGAAUUCCAUGAUGAAAAUAAGCAAGAUAUACUGUAAGUAAAUGAGUAGGAGUACGCAUGAAGCUUACACAGGAUAUUCAACAGAUGUACAGAUUAAUGAGAUAUUUAAAGCAGUGCAUGAUCUGUUUCUCAGUCCAGUUAUUCAGUCCGUAGUACAAUACAUUUGAAAUAAUAUGAGAUAUCGUGCAAUGAGCACUGUCAUUUAGUAUGUACUGUGCUAUAUAAUUUUCUUAGUAAGACAGCUGUUCUUAAAAUAAUUUGUGCUGAGCUGUUUUUUAACUGUUAGUUUGCUUUCGACUAACCUGAAUCUCUGAAGAAAUUGUACAUGUUUUUUGGAUUGAAUAAUCCUAGGUGAUCUUUACUGAAAAACUAGUUGUUGCCAUAUUGUUUGAUUGAGUCAAAUGUACUUAUAACCUGAAUGCAAAUUAAAUGUGCGUUCUACUAUCUUAACAUUUGAAUUUUUCUUUUUCGUAUUUAUUGUUAUCUGAAUAUAUUUGUCUUAUGUAUGAUAAUUUAAUAUGCACAUAUAAUGUUCUUAACAAAUGACAUGAAAAUGUGGGAUAUGCUACACAGUUUUAUAAUUACUAGGUUUUAUAAAAACUGUAUUUCAGAGAGUUUGACAGACAGUACUUUCUUGAUAUCAUACAAUGUAAUGUAAUUUACUUAUUUCCUGUUUAUCAGUUUGAAUCGUGACAUAAUCUCAGUGGAAAUAUUCCUGUUUUUCUUUUAGAUCUGGUGAAGCCGUCUUUUAGGAAUUAAAUUAUCUGAUUUUGAAAACGUUAUGAAAUUUAUAGUUUUAAUACCAGACUUUCUUGCAGCAAUUUAAUUGAUUGUUAACAACUUUCAAAUCAUACUUUGAUAUUUUUAACAUUUUUAUUAAUAUCUUAAGAAACUGGAAGUAUUGACAUCUUGUUUAUAACUUACAUAAUUCUCUGUGGCAGGGAAUCAUUAAGAAUUGUGUGAAAUAUUAAUUGCAAUUUGUAUCAAGUCAGAAAUACAUGCUGAAACUUCCUGCCUCUACCUUUUACUAAUUACUGUAUUAUAAAGAAAUGUUAGAUUGUGCUGUUUUUUAAGUGCACAGUGCAAUUGGGACUUACAAAGUUGAAGGGGUCAUAAGAUGGCUCUAUCACUACAGGGAUAAGUAAGUUAGAUGGUGUGAUUGCCACAAGUAAACAGUUCUACCUGUUAGAUUUUAAUUUAUUGUUAUCAUUAAUUAUAAGGCACUUGUGAUAAUCCCAUCUGCUAAAGGAAAAGAAUGGAAGCAUAAUAUUAUUAUAAAGAUUUUUGAUUUAUAAGAAUGUUGGCUUCAUUUUAUCUUAUGACAUAAAAAAACCUGUACUUUGUUUACAACUUUUAAAUGAUUAAAGAAAAGAAUACUUGUUUUUCAAAUUGUUUAUAGUUAAUGAAUGAUUAUUACAUGCCUGUGCAGCUUUCUUUACCUUACAUGUCGUGUAACAUCUCACAUAUUUCACAUUUUAACACCUUUCAUCUAAACCUUAAGUCUUGCGGAUUCAAGUUUUCGUAGUUUCCGUGUCAUAAUUAGAUUGAGACGGCUGAGUAUCAGGAUAACUACACCUUUCAGUCAGUAAUUAUCCAAGGUUUAGUAUGUGUAUAGACAAACGUAUUGCUUUUUUAUGAGUAUCAAGUAUACUCUACUCAUACAUCAAAUUUAAAGCAAAAAUAAAGAGAAAAAGCAGGGGAAAUGUAGUUACUUGUUUUAUGUAUGGAAGAAAAUAGUAAAAAAAAAUCCACAUUCUGAAACUUCCAUUACUGUGAAGUUCUGCUAUUUUGAACAUAUUUAAGAAAGUCAGAUUGUAGUAAUUUAUAUUGUAAACAUGAGGAAAUAAAAGUACAUGUGUAGGAAGCCAAUCACAGGUGUGAUUUUCAUUACUAAAUUAAAUUAAAUUAAAUACUGUAAUUUUGGUCUUCUGGGUGUAACAUAAUGCACAAAUAAUACAUUACUUUCUAUCGCUUUCAGUGACAGCUACAUUGAUGUUGCCUGUGAUUCAUUUCUUACUGCUCUUACAUUUUUAUUUAAUAAAAUAAAACAUACAUAUGAA